rnacentral:rRNA from 1 species
UACGUAGGGGGCGAGCGUUGUCCGGAUUUAUUGGGCGUAAAGCGCGGGCAGGCGGCCCGGUAAGUCGGCCGUGAAAGCGCCGGGCUCAACUCGGCGAGGACGGGCGAGACUGCAGGGCUGGAGCAAGGCAGAGGGCGGUGGAAUUCCGGGUGUAGUGGUGGAAUGCGUAGAGCUCCGGAGGAACACCAGUGGCGAGGAGGC